rnacentral:rRNA from 1 species
AACGAACGCUGGCGGCGUGCUUAACACAUGCAAGUCGAGCGGUAAGGCCCUUUCGGGGGUACACGAGCGGCGAACGGGUGAGUAACACGUGGGUGACCUGCCCUUAGCUCUGGGAUAAGCCUGGGAAACUGGGUCUAAUACCGGAUAUGACCUCAUGACGCAUGUUGUGGGGUGAAAGCCUUGUGCGGCUAGGGAUGGGCCCGCGGCCUAUCAGCUUGUUGGUGGGGUGAUGGCCACCAAGGCGACGACGGGUAGCCGGCCUGAGAGGGCGACCGGCCACACUGGGACUGAGACACGGCCCAGACUCCUACGGGAGGCAGCAGUGGGGAAUCUUGCGCAAUGGGCGAAAGCCUGACGCAGCGACGCCGCGUGAGGGAUGACGGCCUCGG